CUCCCUGUGGCUCAGUUGGUAGAGCAUGGUGUGUGCAACGCCAGGGUUGUGGGUUCAAUUCCCACGGAGG
rnacentral:tRNA from 1 species